rnacentral:rRNA from 1 species
AACGAACGCUGGCGGCAUGCCUAACACAUGCAAGUCGAACGAGACCUUCGGGCCUAGUGGCGCACGGGUGCGUAACGCGUGGGAACCUGCCCUUAGGUUCGGAAUAACUCCCCGAAAGGGGUGCUAAUACCGGAUAAUGUCUUCGGACCAAAGAUUUAUCGCUUUUGGAUGGGCCCGCGUUGGUUUAGCUAGUUGGUAGGGUAAAAGCCUACCAAGGCGACGAUCCAUAGCUGGUCUGAGAGGAUGAUCAGCCACACUGGGACUGAGACACGGCCCAGACUCCUACGGGAGGCAGCAGUGGGGAAUAUUGGACAAUGGGCGAAAGCCUGGUCCAGCAAUGCCGCGUGAGUGAUGAAGGCCUUAGGGUUGUAAAGCUCUUUUACCCGGGAUGAUAAUGACAGUACCGGGAGAAUAAGCUCCGGCUAACUCCGUG